AUGGAUAAUGGAAGAAAAAAUAUAUAUUUUUAUGGAUCUGCAAUCAAAAAUAUUGCUGCAAGGCUCCGGAGAUGAAGUCAGUAAUAAACCAAGCUAAAGAAUUGAGAUUGAGCCAAUUGAACUAUGAGUGAAAUCCACAAAAAAAUCUUAAGAUCAUGGGAUACCCUCCGAUUUAGGACUUUUCGAUACUUAAGUCAGCCAGAGUUUUGAGAACAGAUGGUGGAAAUGGAGAAAUAGAAAGCAAAAAUUGAGAGUUUGAGAGUAGAGAGA
rnacentral:lncRNA from 1 species